UACGAGGGGUGCAAGCGUUGCUCGGAAUUAUUGGGCGUAAAGGGUAGGUAGGUGGUCUCAUUUGUCUGGGGUGAAAGCCUCGAGCUUAACUCGAGAAGUGCCCCAGAAACGGUGAGACUUGAGUCUUGGAGAGGGUUGCGGAAUUCCCGGUGUAGCGGUGAAAUGCGUAGAGAUCGGGAGGAACACCGGUGGCGAAGGCGGGUCUCUGGGCCGAUACUGACGCUGAGGAGCGAAAGCGUGGGGAGCGAACAGG
rnacentral:rRNA from 1 species